AUUUAUAUAGUUUAAAAAAAACACUAUAUUUUCAUUAUAGAGUUAGAAUCUUCUUAUAAAUA
rnacentral:tRNA from 1 species